GUGGAUAUAGUUCAGUUGGUUAGAGCGUCAGAUUGUGGUUCUGAAUGUCGUGGGUUCGAGUCCCACUAUCCACCCCA
rnacentral:tRNA from 1 species